CCUACGGGGGGCAGCAGUAGGGAAUCUUCCACAAUGGGCGAAAGCCUGAUGGAGCAACGCCGCGUGGGUGAAGAAGGCCUUCGGAUCGUAAAACUCUUUUGUUAGAGAAGAAAGUGCGUGAGAGUAACUGUUCACGUUUCGACGGUAUCUAACCAGAAAGCCACGGCUAACUACGUGCCAGCAGCCGCGGUAAUACGUAGGUGGCAAGCGUUAUCCGGAUUUAUUGGGCGUAAAGGGAACGCAGGCGGUCUUUUAAGUCUGAUGUGAAAGCCUUCGGCUUAACCGGAGUAGUGCAUUGGAGACUGGGAGACUUGAGGGCAGAAGAGGAGAGUGGAACUCCAUGUGUAGCGGUGAAAUGCGUAGAUAUAUGGAAGAACACCAGUGGCGAAAGCGGCUCUCUGGUCUGUAACUGACGCUGAGGUUCGAAAGCGUGGGUAGCAAACAGGAUUAGAUACCCGGGUAGUC
rnacentral:rRNA from 1 species